GCCAGUGUGGCAUAGUGGUUUCAGUGUUGGACUAUAACUCUGGAGACCAGGGUUUGAUUCCCUGCUCAGAAA